rnacentral:rRNA from 1 species
CGCGUAGGCGGUUUGAUUAGUUAGGCGUGAAAUUCCUGGGCUCAACCUGGGGGCUGCGCUUAAUACAGUCAGACUAGAGUGUGAAAGAGGGUCGCGGAAUUCCCAGUGUAGAGGUGAAAUUCGUAGAUAUUGGGAAGAACACCGGUGGCGAAGGCGGCGACCUGGUUCAUUACUGACGCUGAGGCGCGAAAGCGUGGGGAGCAAACA